rnacentral:rRNA from 1 species
AUUGAACGCUGGCGGCAGGCCUAACACAUGCAAGUCGAGCGGAGCGGCGAACGGGUGAGUAACGCGUGAGUAACUGCCCCCCUCUCUGGGAUAACAGUUGGAAACGGCUGCUAAUACCGGAUAGUGGGGGAUGACUCGCGUCCUAUCAGCUUGUUGGUGGGGUAGUGGCCUACCAAGGCGACGACGGGUAGCCGGCCUGAGAGGGCGACCGGCCACAUUGGGCUGAGAUACGGCCCAAACUCCUACGGGAGGCAGCAGUGGGGAAUAUUGCACAAUGGGGGCAACCCUGACGCAGCCAUGCCGCGUGAAUGAAGAAGGCCUUCGGGUUGUAAAGUUCUUUCGGUAGCGAGGGUUUAAUAAACUAAUUGAUUGACGUUAACUACAGAAGAAGCACCGGCUAACUACGUGCCAGCAACCGCGGUAAUAC